rnacentral:lncRNA from 1 species
UCUUUUCUGUUUGAACUGUUAGACAGUAGUUUAUUGGUCAUCUCUGCAGUGUGUCAGGUACUCUGCUAGUUGCUGAGGACACAGACAUGAGCAACAGAGACUUCAGUUGAGCCUAAAUUAUUGCAGGAGGAAGCAGAAAUAAUCAAGUUCUAAAACAAUAAAAACUAAUACUUUGAAAAAUGUUUGCCAUUCAGAAAAGCUGAGAGAACAAUGCAGUGACCUCUUACGUAUCAUCCACCUAGAAUCAGAUUAAUUGAAAGCAUUAUUUUCAUCCUGUCACUGCCUUAUAUGUUGAAGCAGUGACUCUUCCAGCCUAUAGGAUAAAUGUAAAUUUCCACCCUGUUACUUUAUUGUUUUUUUUUUGAAGUUCAAUUUCAACCUGUCUUUCCUUAAUGUUUGCUGUAGGAGCUGCCAUCCUUUAAGCACGACGAUGUGACAGGCAUGCCAGUGUCUAAUUUUUACAGGAACAACUGUAAGAUGGAGCCUUGCUCUGUUGCCAGGCUGGAAUGCAGUGGCGUGAUUUCAGCUCACGGCAACCUCUGCCUCCCGUUUCCAGUGAUUCUCCUGCCUCAGCCUCUUAAGUAGCUGGGACUACAGGUGCGCCCCACCGCACCCAGCUAAUUUUUGUAUUUUUAGUAGAGAAGAGGUUUUAUUUACCAUGUUGGCCAGGAUGGUGUCGAUCUCUUUACCUUGUGAUCCGCCCACCUCGGCCUCCCAAAGUGCUGAAAUUACAGGCGUGAGCUACAGUGCCCAGCCGACUAUUAAAUUAUUUUUAAUGCUAUGUUAGAUAAUUACGUUAUCUAAUACCAUUUUUUAUGUAUGUAUUUUUUAAUGUUUUAGUAGACUUCAUCUUUUAAAGCAAUUUUAGGUUCACAGCAGUAAUAAGCAAAAGGUACAGAGAUUUCCCAGGUACCCUCUGUGCAUAGCCUUCCCAUUAUCAACAACCCCCACCAGGGGGGUGCAUUUGUUACAAUUGACAAACCUACAUUGACACAUCAUCACCCCAAGUCCAUCACCCCAAUAGUGGAGGGUUCACUUUUGCAGGCACCUUAAUCUAUUUUUCUUUUCUUUUUUUUUUAAACCAUCUUUUUAUAUUUAGAGACCGGGUUUUGCUAUAUUGCCCAGGCUGGUCUCAACCUCCUGGGCUCAAGUGGUUCCCCCUCACCUCAGCCUCCCAAGCAGCUAGGACUGCAGGCACAUACCACCUCACAGAGCUAACACCUUGAUUUUUGAUCAGAUACUUCAGUGACAGUCAAGUGGCUGUUAAAGUGAAUUAGUUGUUUAAUCAGUAAUUUCAUGCAUUGAGAUACCUAAAAAAUUGGGCAAAUGAGAUUGAAUCUACUGCAAUUAGAAGUCAUUGUGAUUUCCAUUCUUUAUAUAGCACCCUGUUUUGCUUAAUCAUAGAUCUUCCCUGCCCCAAAACUAUUUUUGUGACCAAUAUAUGUGAAACCCCUGUGAGAGCUGUACGGAACAUUUGCUGCUUUUUGUCUGAAGAUUUUUUCUCUCUCUGAUGAAAUGAUUCUAGUGAACCGGCC